AGAAUCAACGCUGGCGGCGUGCCUAACACAUGCAAGUCGAACGAGAAAGGGUAGCAAUACCUGAGUAAAGUGGCGCACGGGUGAGUAACACGUGACUAACCUACCUUUUAGUGGGGGAUAACCUAGGGAAACCUGGGCUAAUACCGCAUAAUACCUACGGGUCAAAGCAGCAAUGCGCUGAAUGAGGGGGUCGCGGUCGAUUAGUUAGUUGGCAGGGUAAUGGCCUACCAAGACUGUGAUCGAUAUCCGGCCUGAGAGGGCGCACGGACACACUGGAACUGAAACACGGUCCAGACUCCUACGGGAGGCAGCAGUGGGGAAUUUUGCGCAAUGGGGGAAACCCUGACGCAGCAACGCCGCGUGGAGGAUGAAGUCCCGUUGGGACGUAAACUCCUUUCGAUCGGGACGAUAAUGACGGUACCGGAAGAAGAACGCCCCGGCUAACGUUCGCGCCAGCACGCCGC
rnacentral:rRNA from 1 species